rnacentral:lncRNA from 1 species
AUAUUUUCUUCUUUAUCAAUUUUAACUCCUCUCUAAAAUUCAAGAUAUUUGGAAGCUAAAAAAAAUUGUAUGUUAAUUAAAUCAAAUAAUCACUAAAUACUUUUACUCUUAUCUAUAUUGAUAUAUAAUAAAAAAUUAUUUUAUUGCCAUUUCCUCAUGAACUACACAAUAUUUCAUAUCCUUCUCUUCCCAUCUAUUUCUUUUCUUAACAAAACAUAUAAAUAC